UCUCGUCCCAGGUUCACACCUAUCCAUUCUCUAAUCCUCCUCCCCGUCGGCAGCGGCGGCGGCUCUGUUCUGAGCCAACUUUUCCUCGUCCUCCCACCGGCAGCGGCGGCUCUGUUCGGAGGCAUCUUUUCCCCAUCCUCUCGGCGGCAGAGGCGACGGCAGCGGCUCUAUUCCCAGCCAGAUCCUAGACCACAAAAUCACCAACACCAUGUACUGGUUUGUCCCCUAAGAGCGUCAAAGAGUACAAAGGGCGGUGGAGCUUUGACGGCAGCACAACGUCUUGUGUUCAAUCUCCAACGGAAACACGGAAAACAGAGAGGUGAAGGCAACCAAAUUGAAUCUUUUGUUGCUGGUAGUGAAACUGACUACAACAUUGUCCAUAUAAAUGGAGGAAAGUAGCCCGACUUCACCGUUGCCAGUCUUGGCAUGCUCGACCAAUCCGUGUACUGUACCAGACAUCUCAGAAUUGGUCAACAACCUUGCAUUGACAGAAUUAAGUGAUGCUCACUCUGUUUCGGAGAUUAAUUCCACUAUGCUUCCUUUUGAUAGUACAACAGAUAGUGAAUGUAACUACAACGCCGAAGAUUAUUGUGUCAUCAGCUGAAGUUUUCCUCUUCUUCAGUGUGAGGCUUCUUUAAUCAGAAUGGUGCAGCAGGUCAGUCUGAUAAACAACAUCAGGUGCAGUAUCCAUCCACAUAGCUGCAGCCAUAAACUCCAGAAGCUGUCAAGCUACAUCACGUUAGAAAAAUACAAGGCACUUCGUGGUGGUACAAUCCAGAUCCGGCAACUGCAAAAAAUGCAAGUACGAAUUCAAAAAUUUGUGGCACAUCUUUCAUUGACCAUAGUGCAAUGGAACAUCAUAUUCAAAUUAGCUACAGAACCUGUUGCGCGGCGGCGCGUGAGGAACCACUUUGCUGGAUGAUCUUGCCGCCGGGGUUGACUGGUGGUGUGGUUCUUCCGACGGAUCAAGAAGAUGAUUGGCUUUUUUUAGGACUAUAAUGAGGUGCUCUGCCUUUAAUUAGAGAUCAGGAAUUUACAAGAUGACUGGCUUGUUUCAAGACGGUGAGGAAGCAGCAGCGACGGCUGAUUGGCUUGUUUUGAGGAGCGAUUGGAUGGUGAUCCUUGGAGGAACAGGUGGGCAGGGGGUGCGCCGCUGCAGCCUCCAUGCGCCUCUGCCGGCGGGAGUGGCUAGGACGAAAACCGAUCUCGAGGAGGUUUCCGCCAACAUCGGUAUUGCUCGAGGGUGUAAAUGCAAAGUGUACGACCAAAGUGUUACAAAUCCCUGAUCAAAUCUGUGCCACUCAUUGUACAUCGAAUGGCCCAUAAUUCAGAUUGCACGAUGGCACCAGGAGUCCAGAUCCUAUUCUAGUCUUCCCCGGUCUAGUGGCCUUUUCAUCUAUAUGUAGAACAAUAGAAGAUAUGGUUCUCCUAAAUGAAUUGUCCAUCGUCCAGCUAUUUUUCA